UUGGAAUAUGGUUAUUCAAGAUGCGCCACUUUAAGAUGCUCUCUAAUUAUGGUAAAACUUAAGAAAAAUUUGGAAAAAAAAUCUCGAGUUUGUAUUUAAGAAAGAUGCAAACGAAAUUGGCCAAGUUCGAAUGGAAUGGGUAAAGAAUGCGGUGUUAUCAAGUGGUUCGCUCUUCAACAACACCUGCAUCACGACUGGUCCACAGUCGCAGUGGCUUAUCCGGCGAGCAAGAAGAUUUGGCAACUUUUCAAAAUAUAGAUUUCGAUGUCUGCACAAAGGUGCGUUCUCAUAUUCUUCUUUCCUAUAUAUUUUAAGUUUAGUGACGUGGAGCAGAACAAUUGGUUCCCACAUACCGCCCGUACUCUUUGUAAAAGUUCCAAGAGGGGUUGUUUACUGAAUAAAAAGUGAGGUGACUAAUUACUUUCCUGUCCUUAACUUUACCCGCUACCACCACCUGGAUGCAUUCUGCGGAUCAAAUAUUCCAGCAGCCUUUGUUGCAAGAUGAUACCUUGUCCAAAGAUUUAGAUAAAUAACACUGGCGAAAGAACAAGAAACGAGGGUGAAAGAGGAGCCAUUGUAUCGUAUGAUUUUCCGCCUUUGAUUUUUCGCUCUCAUAAUGGGUCAGCGCCCCGCUUAUUAAUUGAACUCACUCAAGAGCGUGUUUAUUAAUUGUUGUAGGGGUAUAUUGUGUUACUAUAUCAUAUACUA